GUGAAUUCUGACAGCUGUUUAAAAGCGGAGUUCCUGGAUUUCAUGACAUUUGUUAACAACGUGUAAAGGUCGGCCAUAAAGCUAGUGUGUGUCGGGCUGCUUUAGCUUUGACAUCUCAGGCAAAGGUUUUACGCAUGUGUUCAUUAGACAAGGGACGAUGAUCUGCGUACAACCUGUUGUGGUUAACUGAGUUCCUUCCGAGCUGGGACCCUAGGACGAAUGGCUUCCUUUGCAGGAGAGACAUGGUGGGCUUUGGUAAUUAGAGGGAAACUAAGAUAUGAAGCCUUGUUAAGACCUUAGUGAAAGGAUUCUUCUCCCCUCUCUCUUUUGAAAAUAGAUGUACCCAUUCUAGACCCACAGGGACCAUCGGAAGCCAGCAGUCAUUCUUCCUUGUUUGCCUGUCGUCAAUUUAGACUGAGAUCUCUUCCCGUUGUGAUAGAAUCGUGGCUCAAGUCCGGACAGACCACACCAAGCCAAUCCAGUUCCACGAGAGAGAGGUUUAUUGUGGCGGAAGGGGACAAAAGGGGGUGACGGAGACAAAGGGGGAAAAGAGAGAGAAGAAGGAGUGAAGGGUCAGGAAGGGUCUGCCUUUUAUUUGGGCUGUGACAUACCGCUCACAGGUAAAGGUGGGAGGUAACUGGAUGCU
rnacentral:lncRNA from 1 species